UACGUAGGGUGCAAGCGUUUAAUCGGAAUUACUGGGCGUAAAGCGUGCGCAGGCGGUUUUUGUAAGUUUGUCGUGAAAUCCCCCGGGGCUCAACCUGGGAAUGGCGAUGAAGACUGCAAGGCUAGAAUCUGGCAGAGGGGGGGUAGAAUUCCACGUGUAGCAGUGAAAUGCGUAGAUAUCAGGAGGAACACCUGUGGGUGUAGACGGCUUUCUGGACCAUAGCUGACGCUGAGACACGAAAAGCGUGGGUAGCAAACAGG
rnacentral:rRNA from 1 species